rnacentral:rRNA from 1 species
GGGAUAGAAUUCCAGGAGUAGCGGUGAAAUGCGUAGAUAUCUGGAGGAAUACCAAAGGCGAAGGCAGUCCCCUGGUCCGAUACUGACACUGAGGUACGAAAGCGUGGGGAGCAAACAGGAUUAGAUACCCUGGUAGUCCACGCCCUAAACGAUGUCGAUUAGCCAUUGGAAGGACCCCUUUUCCUUUCAGUGACGUAGCUAACGCGUUAAAUCGACCGCCUGGGAAGUACGACCGCAAGGUUAAAACUCAAAGGAAUUGACGGGGACCUGAACAAGCGGUGAAUGAUGUGGAUUAAUUCGAUGCUACGCGAAGAACCUUACCUACCUUUGACAUGGCCAAAGUUCUACCGAGAGGCGGAAGUACUCGUAAGAGGAUUGGCGCACAGGUGCUGCAUGGUUGUCGUCAGUUCGUGUCGUGAGAUGUUGGGUUCAGUCCCGCAACGAACGCAACCCUUAUCUUUAAUUGCUCCUAUUUUAACAGGCACUUUAAAGAAACUGCCAAUGAUAAGUUGGAGGAAGGUGGGGAUCACGUCAAGUCCGCAUGGCCUUUAUAGGUAGGGCUUCACACGUCAUACAAUGGUUGGAACAAAGAGCUGCAAAUUCGUAAGAAGGAGCCAAUCUCACAAACCUAACCUCAGUUCGAAUUGCGGUCUGCAACUCGAGCGCAUGAAGCCGGAAUCGCUAGUAAUCGUGGAUCAGAAUGCCACGGUGAAUACGUUCUUAGGUCUU